rnacentral:misc_RNA from 1 species
AUUGAAGCAUUGUGUCUCAAUUCUUAAAAAAUAGUAACAAUAGGACACAGUAAGACUAGCAGUUUUACCAAACCGUAAAUAAGAACAAGAGGGCUGGAUUAAAUGGUUGAACUAGCAACAAGAACAAGUUGUAUAGGUUCUUAAUUUGAAAUAAAUGCUUAGAACCAAAUCUCAUCUCAUUGUAAGUUUUUAAGCGAAGGUAUUAUAUUGGGAACAAAAAGUAGCAUAAAACCGUGGUUGCGCACCUUAUGAAGCGUUUAAAUCAUCCAUUCCAACACUAGCCAGGAAAUUGUGAUUCUCUUCAAGAAAAGGUGAAAA